AGAAAUGUGGCUUAAUGGUAAAGUGCUUGCCUAGUAUGCAUGAAGCCCUGGGUUCAAUUCCUCAAUACCA
rnacentral:tRNA from 1 species